rnacentral:misc_RNA from 1 species
GCAAACUUGGUCAUUUAGAGGAAGUAAAAGUCGUAACAAGGUUUCCGUAGGUGAACCUGCGGAAGGAUCAUUAUUGAAUACCUUGAUGGGUUGUAGCUGGCCUUUCAAGGCAUGUGCACACCUGUCUUGACUUUAUUCAUCCCCCUGUGCACUAAUUGUAGUCUUUCACUCUCUUGGUUAAGAAAUGCAGGCAUUGUUCAGUUGAGACAUACUGGAUUUGGGGACUGCCUCUUGGCUUUUCUCUGUGCUUGUCAGAUCAUUAUCCACUUGAGAAGGACUAUGUUCUUUAUCAUAUACCAUAUUGUAUGUUGCCAGAAUGUGUAAAAUGGGUAUUAAUGCCUAUAACAUCUUUAUACAACUUUCAGCAACGGAUCUCUUGGCUCUCGCAUCGAUGAAGAACGCAGC